rnacentral:rRNA from 1 species
GAUGAACGCUGGCGGCGUGCCUAACACAUGCAAGUCGAACGGAAAGGCCCGGAUCUUGUGGCGCGCUCGAGUGCCGAGCGGGGGAGUAACACGUGAGUAAACCGCCCUUGAAUUUCGGGUAAAUUCUGGAGAAUGGGGCGAAUACACCAUAGGAGCUCCUGCUGCAUGGGGGGGGUUGGAAAGUGUCGGCGGUGCGGGAUGGACUCGCGGGUUAUGAGCUUGUUGGUGUGGUAGUGGCUUACCAAGGCUUUGACGGGUAGCCGGCCUGAGAGGGUGACCGGCCACAUUGGGACUGAGAUACGGCCCAGACGCCUACGGGAGGCAGUAGUGGGGAAUAUUGCAGAACGGGCGGAAGCGUGAUGCAGCAACGCUGCGUGCGGGAUGACGGCUUUCGGGUGGUAAACCGAUUUCGCCUGUGACGAAGCGUGAGUGACGGUAAUGGGUAAAGAAGCACCGGCUAACUACGUG